CAGCAGCAGCAGCAGCAUCAUCCUCGUCGUGACUCAAUUCCGCAGCUCAGCCAAUACCACGUGGGCUCGCGAGCUUCAGUCAGUAAACAUCAGGACAUACCUCUUGUGGAUGAUAAGGGGCCCAGAGAGUCGUUUCUGCUGGAUUACAACCACAAAGACACAAUCCAUCAAUCACAUGGGAUUCCCUUAGCAUACCACCAUAGAGGACUGUUUCACUGGCAUACAGGUAAGGGAUUAUUCAUUGUGGCAUCACAAAACUUUUGCUAAUUGCAGUGAUUAAUUGUGUUCACUUUAAAUUGUUCUCUUCAGGUUGAAUCUGGGAGGGUUAUAAAAUGUAUUUAUCAAUAUUCAUUAUUUAACUUAAUUUAUUUAUUUAACAAUAGGCUGUUUUUUCAAGUUGGUUGUUACACAAAACCGGAACUCAAAUUUAACAACAGUUCUUAAAAGAAGCUCCUAGCUGAAUACAGUGACUAGGGUUUGGUAUAAAUGAAAAAUAUGAGACAAUCAUAGUAAUGUAAAUAAUAGGAUAAGGCUUUGAAACCUCCCUUACUUCGUGCCAAGCUGUUCAAGACCCCUUUUACAUGAGGUAUCCUCAUCAGAGAAAGGGACAGUCUACUGAUCAUGAUUUUUGAGUCAGAGGUAAAUAAAAGUCAGUGCAAGUCUCUUUCUGUUCGCAUCCUCUGCUGUAUUCUCUACAGCCAUGUUAAUUAAAUGUGCUCUCUCUCUCCCCUUCUUACACA